rnacentral:rRNA from 1 species
UACGGGGGGAGCAAGCGUUGUUCGGAUUUACUGGGCGUAAAGGGCGCGUAGGCGGCCACCGCAAGUCAAUUGUGAAAUCUCUGGGCUUAACCCAGAAAGGUCAACUGAUACUGCGGGGCUAGAGUGCAGAAGGGGCAACUGGAAUUCUCGGUGUAGCGGUGAAAUGCGUAGAGAUCAGGAAGAACAUCGGUGGCGAAGGCGCUCUGCUGGACCAUAACUGACACUCAGGGACGAAAGCUAGGGGAGCGAAUGGG